GAUGGAUGGACCCGCGGUGCAUUAGCUAGUUGGUAGGGUAAUGGCUUACCAAGGCAACGAUGCAUAGCCGACCUGAGAGGGUGAUCGGCCACACUGGGACUGAGACACGGCCCAGACUCCUACGGGAGGCAGCAGUAGGGAAUCUUCGGCAAUGGACGAAAGUCUGACCGAGCAACGCCGCGUGAGUGAAGAAGGUUUUCGGAUCGUAAAACUCUGUUGUUAGAGAAGAACAAGGAUGAGAGUAAAAUGUUCAUC
rnacentral:rRNA from 1 species